UUCAAAAAGGUUACCUAAAAAAUGCGAU
rnacentral:sRNA from 1 species